GAGGAUGAGUUGAUCUGUGUUUACGCGACAGAUAAGCAGUUUGCAAUAUCGAAAAUAAGAAUUUGUACAUUACAGACUGUUUGCUGAUUUGUUUGAAAAUACGAAUAUUUGUGUUUAUAUAUAUAUAUUGACUCCCUUUUGUUUGUUUGUUUUGCUUCAUACCAUCCUAAACAUUGCGUGCUGUCGAUUAUUUAUAUUUUACUGGUUUGUUAUGUUAUGUUAUAUUGAUUGGCUAAUUUAAUAGUAUGACAACAAACUCUUCAUCACACAAAUGAUGUUUUAUAUUCUAUACACCUGUAUUUGUGGUCACAGGUGUUACCUUUUAAUAUACAUGUCUACAAAUAUAUCAACAGACUGAAACAGUUGAUCCAUCUGGCUCAAACAUCUUGAGGAGGCACGUAAAGAGUUUGGAUGGGCCUGAUGCCUCUGGUCAGUGAUCUGGUCCGUCUCCUGCUCAAAGUUUGAAGCCCCUUAAACCUGUGGGACUGGGAUGUCCAAAUAUGUGAAUCAGACUGCACCAAUGUCCACUCCAAACUCCUGAUCUGCUCCUCCGAUGUCCAUGGGAGCAAUGUCCACAAUGGGCAGCCUGGAUGUCUUCUGAGUUUUGUACUCAAUCACAGUCUUGGCCCACUGACCUGUG